AAUUGACUUUUUAUGGUCUUUGAGGAUUGGACAAGUGUUUAUGUGUAUGAAUGCAUGUUCACUUUUGCAAUACCACCUUCUGCGAUAAUAAGUAAAGUCCUUUCCUUGUAAAGCUCACUUCCCUCAUCUCCUCUAGAUCAUCCAGACUGCAGUAAUGUUUUGCUCCAGAAGAUACUGUGUGAAGUACGAGGCGCUGCAUCAAAUGAGUUCACUGCCUCAUGCAAGUGAAGGAGGCAUAGGAACAACUAGGUCCUCGAGUCAAGAGGAAGGUUUUUCUAUGUGAGGCUCAGUGCUGAAAUGAACAUCUUGACUUGUGUGUAUGUUUAUGUUGAAGAUGACUGUCUACGUGUCCCUCAGAACUCCAGAGAAAUCCAGUUCUAAGUUAUACCUUCCGCACAAAGCAGCCUGAGGGCAUUCCUGCAUUAAUGAGUACAGCCAGCUCUGACCUGGCAAAGUUCAGGCUGUUCUUUGCACAAACUCCAUCGAAUAUUUUAAUCUCCAUUUGCUUUUGAAAGAAUAGCUGGCUCACAAUAUUCAGGCUUAAUUUUACUCUUAUGGUGAUUUAAAAAUCCUGUGCCUCUUAAAAGCGUUACUGAAAUUUGUCUCACAAUGUCUCUGUCAAGUCGGGAAGUAUUGCAAAUGCUGCACCAGGUGUUUUGGAUGAAUAGUUUGUUCACAGGAAAUACAGUUUCCAUCUGAAAUGAAUUUGUACUGAAUUUAGUUGAUGGUUUUGGCCAAAUAUAACUGUAAGAAAGAAGUUAUUUGGACUUCUUAAGAACCACAGUUAACAUCAUUUUAUUUAAAAACAUCCCAAAUACUAAUUUGUUAAUACUUACUUAAAUCAGUUAAAAUCUGUUCACUGUAGAAUUAUAUCUUUUAUUUCCAGUAAAAUGAAAGCAGUAUGUUUUUCUACCCGUAAUGGUUGUGGUAUUUGUUAUGCACCUGGAAUAUUAUGUGCAUAUUUGUGUAAACCUGUUUACUUCCUUUUUUUUUUUUUUAGCAUAACAUUUCUUGUUUUAGAUUAAAAAAAAAAGUUAUAUAGCCUGCAUUAGUAUUUCUAUUUAAUUGGAAAGCUGAGGAAUAAAUUAUAUGUUCUGCCCAAAACCAGUCCAUGACAAACCCCAUACAAAGUUUGGAUUUUUCAGACUAUUUUUACCUGAGGCUCUUCUUGUGUUUUAAUCAGUAGAGUGAAUCUUUCACUUUUAUUCAUUUUUGUUGAACUUUGUGUCAUAAUCACCACUUACUAAAACUGCCUUUGAUAUUCUGUGGGCUGAUGUGUACUUAACAUGUGGAAGGAACAUAGUGAGCAUGGAUGCAGGAGGGUGAGGUCUCACUGCACAGGAUCAGGAGUCUUGCCAAAGGCGUAGCUGAGGUCAGGCUCUUGUGUUCCCUGCGGCGCCCAUACUCUGCGUGGGAGGUUUUAAGUUAACCCUGGCUCUCUCUGGUUCUAACUUUUAAGUGUUGUCUUAAUUUUAAGUGUUCUCGUUCAUAUGUGGAACUUGGCUUUCCUCUAGCUGCUCCCAUAGUGGAUAUUUUUAUGUAAAUGAAUAAACUUGUGUGCUAAAAA